GAUGAACGCUGGCGGCGUGCCUAAUACAUGCAAGUCGAGCGAACAGACGAGGAGCUUGCUCCUCUGACGUUAGCGGCGGACGGGUGAGUAACACGUGGAUAACCUACCUAUAAGACUGGGAUAACUUCGGGAAACCGGAGCUAAUACCGGAUAAUAUAUUGAACCGCAUGGUUCAAUAGUGAAAGACGGUUUUGCUGUCACUUAUAGAUGGAUCCGCGCCGCAUUAGCUAGUUGGUAAGGUAACGGCUUACCAAGGCAACGAUGCGUAGCCGACCUGAGAGGGUGAUCGGCCACACUGGAACUGAGACACGGUCCAGACGCCUACGGGAGGCAGCAGUAGGGAAUCUUCCGCAAUGGGCGAAAGCUUGACGGAGCAACGCCGCGUGAGUGAUGAAGGUCUUCGGAUCGUAAAACUCUGUUAUUAGGGAAGAACAAAUGUGUAAGUAACUAUGCACGCCUUGACGGUACCUAAUCAGAAAGCCACGGCUAACUACGUG
rnacentral:rRNA from 1 species